UACGAAGGGUGCAAGCGUUAAUCGGAAUUACCGGGCGUAAAGCGCGCGUAGGUGGUUCAGUAAGUUGGAAGUGAAAUCCCUGGGCUCAACCUGGGAACUGCUUUCAAAACUGCUGAGCUAGAGUACGGUAGAGGGUGGUGGAAUUUCCUGUGUAGCGGUGAAAUGCGUAGAUAUAGGAAGGAACACCAGUGGCGAAGGCGACCACCUGGACUGAUACUGACACUGAGGUGCGAAAGCGUGGGGAGCAAACAGG
rnacentral:rRNA from 1 species